UGAGUUUUUCGGAAUGAUCUUUUGAUGAAAGUGGCGAACGGGUGAGUAACGCGUGGGCAACCUGCCUCAAACAGGGGGACAACACCGGGAAACUGGUGCUAAUACCGCAUAAGACAGCAGCAAGGCAUCUUGCAGUUGGAAAAGGAGUAAUCCGGUUUGAGAUGGGCCCCGCGUCUGAUUAGCUAGUUGGUAAGGUAACGGCUUACCAAGGCGAUGAUCAGUAGCCGAACUGAGAGGUUGAUCGGCCACAUUGGGACUGAGACACGGCCCAAACUCC
rnacentral:rRNA from 1 species